ensembl:lncRNA
UGAAAUUGUUUUAUUUAGGCCCAUUUCCAACUUCUGCCAAACAACUCCUGAUGAAACAGGAGCGAUAAGAGAAAGCAAGGGAAAGAGAGAAAGACAGAUGGAAAAAGAGAGAAUAGAGUAUUGGUAACAAUCCUUCCCUGGAGUUCUUAAUGUGGUUGUAAGUCUCAUUUCAAUUCUGGAAGAUAGACUGAUCUCCUUAAUCGUACCAUUCAUAAAUCAAUGACAUAGUUCACAUUUUGUUACAAGGUCAGAUUCCUAAAUAGGUAAAUCAAUGUGCAGUAAUCCAGUACUCUAAGAAAUAAAUGCAACAUAGAGAUGUUUAUUGAAACAUCAACAGCCAUUACUUGCUUUAAAAAAGAAACGUGGAUGGAAUACUGUCUAACAAUCCAUGGUGCACUACUAUUCAGUGAUUUUUUUUUUAUUGACCAAAAACAAAAUAUAUACCAGAAACUGGACGCAUUGCUGUGUAGAGCUUAUAUUUAUUUGCUCUGGAAUAUAUCAAUAGGUGCUAUACAAUAGCUCGAGAGAUGGAUUGUUGAGCAAGUUACAUUCCAUUUUCUUUUAAUGCUUUUCAUUGUCAGCAAAGACCCCUACAAGCACUUUCAUGUCCUAGUCCGGACAAUUAAUUAAUAUCACUUGUAAAUAAUGAACCUGUAGUUUGGCCAAAUAUUAUUUUUGGACAAACCAAACAUGUAGAAAGUACUCAUAUUGUAUAUCAUCACUUUAACUGGGGGGAUGGGUGCUAUAUGGAUUCAUAACUUAUUGACACAUUGACCUGCAACAGUUUUUCAAAACAAAGUAUUUGUUGGAAAAGAGUGUGGAAAGCGGUCAUCAAGGCAAACUGUGGCUACUUUGGUUACUACAUGAUUUCAUAGGUCUUAUUUCAUAGUUUCAAUGUCUUCACUAUUAUUCUACAUUGUAGAAAAUAGUAAAAAUAAAGAAAAACCCUUGAAUGUGUUGUUCAAACUUUUGACAUGUACUAUAUAGUCUGGCAUUCUCUGAUUUUAUGUAGCAUCAAAAGAUACAAACGUGGUAUGCGACUUUAUUAACUUAAGGAUUUUUUUGUUGUUGAUUGUUUGCAAACUGACAUGUGACACGUAUUAAUGCCAAAAUAACAUGUGAAACAGGCUAUAUAUAUAUAUAGAUCCUUGCCCACAAGGAUCGUCACACCACCUUCCUGUUCAUGUUAGCAGAGCACAAUGUGAGUCCAAAAAUGUAUUGUAUGCUGCUGCAUAAAUUAUGUAAUAUGCCAGGGAGAUAUGUAUACUGUAGCUAAGAAAGUAAUACUAAGUGUAUGUUGUGUAGUAAGCUGUUAGUAGUGCAUGCGCUUCACCCAAAUAAUUUGUUCCCUUUCCCCCUCAUAACUUAGCCUACUGUUCUGACUUGGAGGUGCACAUGUAGCCUAUAGCCUGUUUUAGAGAAAUGUAAUCAUCAAAUAUUGUAAGAGCUUUCAUUGUCUGCUUAAAUGUCCCCUAUAUUUAUCCUACGGUUCUGACUUGGAGUACAGGGAGAAUACUGUAAGAAAGGCCCAUGUUCUGAAUUCUGACGCUGUACAUUUCAAAAGUGCUGAACAAAUAGUUAUAUUGACUAUGUCCAUCCUAGCUCGCUCCAUGGUGCUGAAAAGAAAGCUCUGCUGUCAGGACAGCUUUAAGUAGGUCAGUUUGUGGGCACCAUUUGUCACCGUUAUAAUGCAAUUAAUGUAUUGUUUAGUGUAGUGGAUUUGCUGGUAUGCAUCUAAAAACAUUUUUCAGAGUGUGCCCCACCAAGAUUUAUCUGCAAAAAUCACCACUGAUCAUCACGCACAGCCUAGCCUCUAUAUCCACAAUAAGUCAGUUUGAUGGAAUCUGUCGCCAAUUGGAUGGAAACCUAGCUUGUGUCCGAAAUGGCACCAUAUUCCCUAUAUGGUGCACUACUUGUGUGUGCACUAGGUCAUAUGGUGCUAUUUCAGAUGCAGACAUUUAACUGCAUGUCUAGAUAUUGUCCAUGUGAUAGAAACACUUUGAAACAGUCAUCCUGAACUAAUGAAUAUCACUGGCCAAUCCGAUUCUGGUGAUUGAAGACCAAGGUCAACCCAAUUGACCCAUACAAGAAGGUGGCCAUCAUAGCUAUGGCAGUCUUGAGAAGAGUGAUCUGGAGCGUAUUUUUAUUUUAGUUUACUAGGCAAGUCAGUUAAGAAGAAAUUCUUAUUUUCAAUGACGGCCUAGGAACAGUGGGUUAACUGCCUGUUCAGGGGCAGAACGACAGAUUUGUACCUUGUCAGCUCGGGGAUUCGAACUUGCAACCUUUCGGUUACUAGUCCAACGCUCUAACCACUAGGCUACCCUGCCGCUUUAAGUCACUCAACUCCACAGUCCUAUCUCCGGAACUUUAUGUUCUGUACAUCUGUACAUUCAACGGCCUUGACUCUGGCCUUGGUGUUUGAAGUCAGUAAACAAGGAAGGUAAAAAAUAUUCAGAUUUCAGAUUUCUUGCUGUGAAACCAUUGUCUCUUCUCACAAAAACAAUCACUUUGCGUUAUUCAUCUGGUCAGGUCUUGCAAGCCCCUUGAAGACGUGAAUCUUCCCAGCCCCGGUUAGCUCAAAGUUGUAGUCUAUUGUGACGUAGGGAGGCUCUCCCACAAUUCC